ACUUGAUAUAAUCCAUUCAGGAACUCCAACUAAUCAAGCAUCACUUGAUAUAAUCCAUUCAGGAACUCCAACCAACCAAACAUCACUUGAUAUAAUCCAUUCAGGAACUCCAACCAACCAAAGAAAAUUUAAAAUAUGCUAUCUUGUUAACCUGGAAAUUUUAAUCUUAGCAUCAUUAAUAAUCCAUUAAGG